GUUCUAGUAAUAUAUAAAAUUAAUGAAAUAUCCAAUUUAUAACAGAGGGUGUUUGUUUUGAUCUAAUCAUAGUUAAGGAACCUUACAAAGAAAGGAAAUACAAAUUGAGGAAUGAAAAAGACAUAAUUCUAUUGUAGUGACAUUAGCUUUAUAACUUAUCUUGGCAGCCAAAGGAUACUAUCCAGUUCUGUUCCUAGACAAGGUGAGCUGAUUGUAACCAUUGCCUACCAUAGAUGUAUCCUGCUCUUGUGGCAUUAUUUUAUUACUUUUCUUUUUCUUAUAUGUUGCUUAUUUUUUUGUAUAGUAAUACAUAAAAAGUUUUUUUUAUGGAUGUAGAGUUAGAUGUUUUUAAUGAGUUUGUACACUACAUUUCGAUUUAAGUUUUUUACAGAUUGUUUUUAAUUAUAUAAAUUGCCAUGACACAAGUAAUUGUUUUCCUUUAUGUGUUUGUUUUAAAUAUUUAGUAAUUUUGUGUUUUAAAGCAAUAAUCAGGGAUUGUUUAGUUAGUGAAUACAUAUUUCUAAAUCACAUUAUUAAACAUGAUUGUUAUGUUAGUGAAUACAUAUUUCUAAAUCACAUUAUUAAACAUGAUUGUUAUGUUAGUGAAUACAUAUUUCUUCAAUCACAUUAUUUAAACAUG
rnacentral:lncRNA from 1 species